ensembl:lncRNA
GACUCCCUGAGUUGAAGAGACAGAACUGAGAGUCAGAGGAGAACAAGGUGGCUAGAGUUCUUAGAAUGGAGCACAAGAAAAGAGGGAACUUCAUAGAGAGAGAACUUCAGAGGUCUACAGAAAGCCCGUCUCAAGCAUAUGGCAGAGUAUUGAUCACCACAUACCUGUGACAAAACAACCCAAGUCAAAGGCCAGAUCCAUGAUUUCCGUCUAGUCAAAGCUAUGGUUUUUCCAGUAGUCAUGUACGGAUGUGAGAGUUGGACCAUAAAGAAAGCUGAGCACUGAAGAACUGAUGCUUUUGAACUGUUUUAGAGAAGACUCUUGAGAAUUCCUCGGACUCAAAGCAGAUUAAACCAGUCAAUCCUAAAGGAAAUCAGUCCUGAAUAUUCAUUGGAAGGACUGAUGCUGAAGCUGAAACUCCAAUACUUUGGCCACCUGAUGCUAAGAACUGACUCAUUGGAAAAGACCCUGAUGCUGAGAAAGACUGAAGGUGGGAAGAGAAGGGGAUGACAGAGGAAGAGAUGGUUGGAUGGCAUCACCGACUCAAUGGCCAUGAGUUUGAGUCAGUUCUGGGAGCUGGUGAUGGACAGGGAGGCCUGGCGUGCUGCAGUCCAAAGAGUUGGGCAUGAGUCCUAGAUUGGAGAAGAAAAUGGCCACCCACUCCAAUAUUCUUGCCUGGGAAAUCCCAUGGACAGAGGAGCCAAAGAGUCGGACACAAUUGAGUGGCUGAGCACUAGGGCCUCUGCAUGUUUAUUGCCGUUAAUACUUGAAACGUUCAAAGCACAAAGGAAACUGGCCAUUCAGCAGAAUCCUGUAAUGAUUUGAAAUUGGAAGACCCUGGUCUGUGUUUGCUUAUUGUCUGCCUACUAUGUGUCAGACACUGAGGUUAUGAAAUUCAAUGGAGAAUGCAAUGGAUGCAUGGUCAUAAACCAUGGAUGGAGGCAGCAUCCACCAAAGUCAGCUCCUCCUACUGGCAAGAAACUCAGCAGAACCUGCACGUGCACUUUGAAGAAGAAACCUUGAUCAGUCCCCCAGGUUUGAGGAGUUUUCUAGAGACAUGAUCUCAUAAGCCAACAGGAGGUUAAAGAUGGUGCAAUUAUUUUAGAGAAGAUGGAUCUACUGGGUCAAUGCUAAAAACAGCCUACUUCAUCUAGAGAAGCAGAGGCAUGUCCAGAUGACCUUCAGACUUCCCUUCCAAUUCUUGGAAUUGAAUAUCAAACAGAUCACAAGCAAGGUAACUACAACUCUUUCUCAUUUCUUCAACAACAAACAUUCACUAAACUCCUACAGUAAACCAGGCACAUUGCCAGAAUCUGAGCAUGCAAAGCUGAAUAAAUGCAAACAUAGCCUUAACCAGAAGGCCAACCUUUCGACAUGAAACUAAAGGAAAGGACCACUAAUUUCUAAUAUUUUAAAGAAAAAAAAAGAACAAUAACUUUUUACGUGCAGUUUCUCGUUUGUUUUUCAAAUAACUCGAUAAUCAAGUAAAUGAUCUUUCCAUUCAACAUAGGAGGCAUCUGAGGCUUGGAGGACUUGAAGAAUUUGUCUAAUGUCAAAAAAAUCAUUCAACAGCAGAGCUGGAAUUUGAGAGGGCAGGUAUAAUAAGUGAGUCACUUCUCCUUAGUCUCUGCCAUUCAUCUUUGGGAUUCUGGGCCUGUGCAAAUCAUGUAAAUCACACUGGAUCAAACCAAUGUAAACCAAACAAAAGUACAUAUUAUAUGAUCAGCUCACCCUAGUCCAUCUCAUAUAUCAGAGGCCCUCUGUUCUUAGCCCCUUGCUCUCUCUGCACUGUAAGCUAGGCUCACGCAAAUGCAAAGUGUGGCUUUGCAUGCUCAAAAUACUCAGUGCAGACCUUGAAGGGUGUGUUACCCAUUUAAGUCAUUGUCUUCCUCUUUAUCAAAAGAGUCCUGAUUUCACAGUACCUUUUAGAACUGAAAUGAGGGAGUCGUGAAUAAAACUAGAAGUCUAGUGUUAGAACAGUCUUAAAGCUCCUGGGCCUCUUAGCUAGAGACAAUAACAGUCAGAGGACUUUUAGCUCCUCAUUCAGGUCCAGAGAGGACUGCAGCUAUCUGCAGUUUCCAUGACAACCAGUUUCUAUAAGUAGAUCUGCCCCAAGCACAGUAGAAGCUUGUAAUCAGUUCUUAAUAAAUGUUCACAAAUGGCUGAUUGAUGACUGGAAAUAUAUCUGUCAU